rnacentral:rRNA from 1 species
UACGAAGGGGGCUAGCGUUGCUCGGAAUCACUGGGCGUAAAGCGCACGUAGGCGGAUUGUUAAGUCAGGGGUGAAAUCCUGGAGCUCAACUCCAGAACUGCCUUUGAUACUGGCGAUCUUGAGUCCGGGAGAGGUGAGUGGAACUGCGAGUGUAGAGGUGAAAAUUCGUAGAUAUUCGCAAGAACACCAGUGGCGAAGGCGGCUCACUGGCCCGGUACUGACGCUGAGGUGCGAAAGCGUGGGGAUCAAACA